rnacentral:lncRNA from 1 species
AAAUGGACCACGACUCCACUGAGCGUUUGGAUUACACUCAGAAUGCUGAGGGAAAAACGUUCAGAAUCUCACCCUUCAGGGAAAAGCGAUGGGACUCCGCGGUGCUCCUUGCCUACGAUUCCCGCACUGCCCAUGGGGAACGAAUCCUAUAUCGCUGAGCGCUUGGUAGGGAAUGUGGACUGUGACCCUGAGAGUCGUCCUUCCCUCUGCCUGAGUCCUUGAGCGAAAAUAUUGAAUAGACAGCAAUUCCUGAAGUCUAAACGCCUCCCAGGACUACGGAGGAUUAUUGGAAAGAGAACAAGCGAGGAGAUACAAUCUUCAAGGACUAAAUGGGGAAUGACUUUUUAGGGGUCAGUAGAUGAUUGAUGAUUGAUUACUAUAAACUGAUAAUAUGAGGCCAAAACUAAAAGUUGGAAGAGUGAGCAAGUACAAUGGUUUGGGAGAGGCAAUGAAGAACAAAGAAGGUGCCAGCCCCUACUCCAGACGCUGUGGUACCACUGGUUUGGCAGGAAAAACAAUCAUCAUUUGAGAGGGCCAGUGGGGAAGCCCUGUCCUCAUGGAAAAGCUAUCUUCUUUCGUUUACACUUUUCAUGGUAUUAUGUCUACUGAAGAGAUGUUGUCUCACUAUGUCGCCCAGACUGGAGUGCAGUGGCACAAUCUCAGCUUACUACAAGAUCUCCACCUCCCGGGUUCAAGCAAUUCUCCUGCCUCAACCUCCCGAGUAGCUGGGACUACAGGCACGUGCCACCAUCCCCAACUAAUUUUUUUUGUAUUUUUAGCAGAGAUGGGAUUUCACCAUGUUGGCCAGGAUGGUCUCAAUCUCUUGACCUCAUGAUCUACCCGCCUUGGCCUCCCAAAGUGCUGGGAUUACGGGCAUGAGCCACCCUGCCUUGCCUUGAAUCACUUCUUAUUUUCUUUUGUGCAUGUUUCAUUGAUAUUUUCUUUAUAGUCACCAAAAGUAUAUGUAACAUCCUAAAGUUAUAACAGUCUUUUAAAUUGAUACCAACUUAACUUCAAUCAGAUAUAAAAACCCUACUCCUUCACAGCUCUUUCCUUCCCGCACUGUUACUGAUCUCAUAGUACAUCUUUACAUAUCGUGUACUUAUUUACAUAGAUUGGUAGUCAUUUUUAUGCAUUUGUCUUUUACGUUGUAUGGAAAAUAAAAACUGGGAUUACAAACU